GAUCUUGGUCAGGACGAACGCUGGCGGCGUGCCUAACACAUGCAAGUCGAGCGAGGAGAUCCCUUCGGGGAUGAACCUAGCGGCGGACGGGUGAGUAACACGUGGGCAACCUGCCUUAUAGAGGGGAAUAGCCUUCCGAAAGGAAGAUUAAUACCGCAUAACAUUACAUUUUCGCAUGAAGAAGUAAUUAAAGGAGUAAUCCGCUAUAAGAUGGGCCCGCGGCGCAUUAGCUAGUUGGUGAGGUAACGGCUCACCAAGGCGACGAUGCGUAGCCGACCUGAGAGGGUGAUCGGCCACAUUGGGACUGAGACACGGCCCAGACUCCUACGGGAGGCAGCAGUGGGGAAUAUUGCACAAUGGGGGAAACCCUGAUGCAAGCAACGCCGCGUGAGUGAUGAAGGUCUUCGGAUCGUAAAGCUCUGUCUUCAGGGACGAUAAUGACGGUACCUGAGGAGGAAGCCACGGCUAACUACGUGCCAGCCGCUGC
rnacentral:rRNA from 1 species